GUGCCACUCGGCCCCGCCUCCUCCCGGGCGCUGGUUGCGCGCGCAACCGUCCCAGCCUGCCCUGCGGCGCAGGGAGGAGCACCGCGUGCCGCUAGCCUGGUUCCUGCUUUUGGAGGUUUGGCGACAAAGUGACAGCUGGCCGGUUUGGCUCCUCCCCUCACUCCUGGCGUUCUGGCUCUCCCUGUUUUUCCUCUCCUAGGAACCACCUCCUCCUCACGGCAGCAGCGAGAGGUCCUGUGUUAUCUUAAAUUUGGGAUGCGUAUAUCAUCAGAUACACCUUUUUCAGUGGACAUAAUUUUUUGAAGAAAUGUGAAGAUUACCAUAUGAAAUUUUACAUAGAGUCAGGGUUCACACUAGGAGAAGGAGCCUAUUGAUGGUCAGCGUAGCACCAGAGUUUUUCAAGAAGAUGUGGACAUUAUUUGUUCUGGUCACAACGAUAAUUCCUCUCUAAGCAGCAACUCCUUGACAAAGUCUACCAAGAAUCCUCCUGGUUGAGGGGUCUUCGCUUGGCUAUUUUUGGAAAAUGAUCUUCCAUAUUGUGGCUCAGUCCUCUUCUUGGUCUUCAGAGUCCUCUCCCCUAAGUAACAGGUUUUGAGAAUGAAAGUCUGAAAGCCUCAACCCUGUGACAAAUCAUUUGCCAAGAUGAUGCCACCCAGCCUCUAAUAAUGGUGGAUAAAAUGGUGGGGUAAGGGAGAAGCCAGUUGAAAAAGGUGGCCAUCUUCUCCCUAUGUCUUCACAUGGUCAUCCCUCUGUCACGAUAUGUGUGCAAAUGCCUCAUACUGGGUUAGAGACCAUCCCAAACAACCUCAAUCUAGUGUAAGUAUUGUUUAAGGUCCUACCUUCAAUACAGUCACAUUCUGAGAUACUGGGAGAUAGGACUUCAGCAUACAAAUUUUAGGGGGACACAAAGCUGCACAUCAAGACAAAUUUGCAUGAAAAAAACCUAUUACUGUAAAUUUAGUCUACUCUUUGAGCUAGAGAAGUGUGCAUCUCUAAGUGUCUGCCUGAUGCACAUAACUUUAUGAACAAAAUUAAUAAGGCAGCUUUUUAUUCAAACCACUAAGAAGCAUAGAUUUACCUUUUGCAUUCGUCUGAGUCCUUCAGAAAAACAAAAUAAAUAGGACACACAUGCACACACACACACAUACAUGUACACAUAUAGUGAGGAUGAGUCAUCUCAAGAUCUGCAGUCAAUGACCAAGGCAAACUGAUGGUAUAUUUCCAGUCUAAAUCUGAGUCUGAGGGCAAGACCAGGGUCCCAGGUCAAAGACAGCAGAGAGAGCAAAUUAUCCCUUACUCAGCCUUUUGUCCUAUCUAGGCCUUCACAGAUUGGAUGAGAUCCAGUGACAUUGGAGAAGGCAAACUGGUUUACUCAGUUAACGAAUUCAGAUGUUACUCUCACUCAGAAAUACCCUCAUAGACACAGUCAUGAAAAUUUUUAACCAAAUAUCUGGGCCCACUCAAGUUGACACAUAAAAUUAACCAUUAUACCUUUUAACUCCUAUAUUCCUAUCUCCUAACACAAUGACAGAUAGAUUUUGUGAGUUCUAAGACUUUGACAAUUUUGAGGGACACUUUGCAGGAAAAUAAAAAAGAUGGGAUUAAAAAUAA